UCAGACGUAGUGUAGUGGGAACAUGGCCUUAAUUUGUGAUAGUGUUCCCGUUUGGUUAUGAGGCAGUCCGGGGUUCGACUCCCUGUGUCUGAA